UUGCAUCUGAGGCCAGUGAGGAUGAGAACCUCCGGGGGCAGGAGGUUCGACUCGAGCGAAGCGAGAGGACGUUGCGUCAGCAACGGCCCGCAGGGCGAGCCACGAAGUGGUGAGUCAUCCUCUAUCACCGACCA
rnacentral:sRNA from 1 species